UACGUAGGGGGCAAGCGUUGUCCGGAUUUAUUGGGCGUAAAGAGCGUGUAGGCGGCCAUACAGGUCCGUUGUGAAAACUCGAGGCUUAACCUCGAGACGUCGAUGGAAACCGUAUGGCUAGAGUCCGGAAGAGGAGAGUGGAAUUCCUGGUGUAGCGGUGAAAUGCGCAGAUAUCAGGAGGAACACCGGUGGCGAAGGCGGGUCUCUGGGCCGAUACUGACGCUGAGGAGCGAAAGCGUGGGGAGCGAACAGG
rnacentral:rRNA from 1 species